ACAAUGGGUGACUAGGGUUCCGGUCCGGGCAGGCUUUAUUGAUCAGCCCGGAUGGCUGGUCCGAGAGUUACCGACCUCUGGGAGGUUACACGGCGGGACAAAAGCCCGGGAGAC
rnacentral:sRNA from 2 species